UCCCUACGGGGGGCAGCAGUGGGGAAUAUUGCACAAUGGGGGAAACCCUGAUGCAGCGACGCCGCGUGAGUGAAGAAGUAUCUCGGUACGUAAAGCUCUAUCAGCAGGGAAGAAAAUGACGGUACCUGACUAAGAAGCCCCGGCUAACUACGUGCCAGCAGCCGCGGUAAUACGUAGGGGGCAAGCGUUAUCCGGAAUUACUGGGUGUAAAGGGAGCGUAGACGGUUAAGUAAGUCUGGAGUGAAA
rnacentral:rRNA from 1 species